UAACUGGAGUAUAUAUGGACAUAUACAGCCAAGACCUCUCAAAGUUUUACCUCAUUAAUCUGCAAUCACAGCAGAACAGAGAGGCCAGAGCCUAAUUAUCAGAAGAAUAUUAAGUGAUUGACAGGGAGAUAUGUGUAAUUAAGCAAUAUUAAGAAUAAAGUGCUGCAUUUUCUUUAAGUCAGGACUCUCAACUGGGAGUGAAUUUGCCUCUCAAAGGACAUCUGGCAAUGUCUGGGGAUAUUUUUGUUUGUUACAGCUCCGGCGGGGAUGUUACUGGCACCUAGUAGGUUGAGGCCAGGAUGCCACUAAGCAUCCCACAAUGCAAAGGAGAGACCCCACAGCAAUAUGUCAGUGGUGUCGAGGUUAAGAAGCCCUGAUAAAAGAGCAUCUUUUACGUUAGAGCAUCUGAUGAAAUGCUGUGCUUUAUAUUGGAAGGCGAAAUGUGCAACUGCUUUGAAAGAAUCCAUAUAAUCAGCAAAGCCUCUCCUACCCUCUUCACAAUAAACAACAGCACUUGUAUGCAGGCUAUGUUAGGUCACGUGCAGACUCAGUGGCAUGACUGACGUGAAAUGGACAAGAAUCAAGAUCAGGACAAGUGUUUUUUCCCACAUUUCUGAAAGCAAUCUGUUCUUUAUCCCAGAAGUUCACACUGACCUUUCUAAUUGAAGCUAUGGGUCCAAAUGAUUUCUUCAAUCACACUUAUAUCAGCCUGAGACUGCUCUGAGGUUAGGUUUUUGUUAAUAUGAUUCUAUGUAAGUAUUAUGUCUUGAUAUUUUUUCCUGUUUUGCUAUUUUAAGUAAUAAAUCUGCUUUAUUGAAUUGUGAUCUUCAGUGACACUUUGUAGUCCCUGACAUCUAAGGUAUGAUUUGCCAUGUCAAAGCAUCAUCUCCUUGUCAUUUUUAAAAAAAUACUUGCUACUCUUUUAAAUGAUAUGUCUAAGUCUUCCACAACUGUUUCCUAUAAUAGCUUUGAAGGGGAAACUAUUUUUUAAGACACAUUGCUAAUGUCAUGUCUAGCAACUAUUUUUCUGUUUGUAACUAUUUUCUGAAUUAUCUAUUAAACAUCUUUAAGUGUA